UUGGUUAAGUUAGAAAGGGCGCACGGUGGAUGCCUUGGCACUAGGAGCCGAAGAAGGACGGGACUAACACCGAUAUGCUUUGGGGAGCUGUACGUAAGCGUUGAUCCAGAGAUUUCCGAAUGGGGGAACCCACUAUCUUUAGUCGGAUAGUAUCCUUACGUGAAUACAUAGCGUGAGGAAGGCAGACCCAGGGAACUGAAACAUCUAAGUACCUGGAGGAAGAGAAAGAAAAAUCGAUUUCCUGAGUAGCGGCGAGCGAAACGGAAAGAGCCCAAACCAAGAAGCUUGCUUCUUGGGGUUGUAGGACACUCUAUACGGAGUUACAAAAGAAAGUUAUAAAUGAAGCGGUCUGGAAAGGCCCGCCAAAGACGGUAACAGCCCGGUAGUUGAAAUGGCUUUCCCUCCAGAGUGGAUCCUGAGUACGGCGGAACACGUGAAAUUCCGUCGGAAUCCGGGAGGACCAUCUCCCAAGGCUAAAUACUCCCUAGUGACCGAUAGUGAACCAGUACCGUGAGGGAAAGGUGAAAAGCACCCCGGAAGGGGAGUGAAACAGUUCCUGAAACCGUGUGCCUACAAGUAGUUAGAGCCCGUUAAUGGGUGAUAGCGUGCCUUUUGUAGAAUGAACCGGCGAGUUACGAUUUGUUGCAAGGUUAAGCGGAAAAAGCGGAGCCGUAGCGAAAGCGAGUCUGAAUAGGGCGCAUAAGUAACAGGUCGUAGACCCGAAACCAGGUGAUCUACCCAUGUCCAGGAUGAAGGUAAGGUAAUACUUACUGGAGGUCCGAACCCACGCACGUUGAAAAGUGCGGGGAUGAGGUGUGGGUAGCGGAGAAAUUCCAAUCGAACUUGGAGAUAGCUGGUUCUCUCCGAAAUAGCUUUAGGGCUAGCCUCGAGGUAAAGAGUCAU
rnacentral:rRNA from 1 species